UAGUAAAUGUCACACCUUACCCAUACCCACGCACAACCAUAAAAACCUAGUUUUCAACAAUUCGACAGACGUAUCUUUAUCAGCCAGUGCCGCCGUACACAACCCUAAUUUGUAACGAUCAUUAACAAUGUUAGAGGAAAAGAGGCGACGUGAUCUCAGGGGAACUGAAGAACGUAGAUGUUACUCGAUCAUAACAUGUUGAGAAUUCAUAGGGUGUGAUGCAGCUGAUGGAUUUUUAAGUGAUUGGUGGGGGCAAGACCCAAAUUCCCCGGAGAAUCUAUUGGAUGAAGAUUAUGAUCCGUCUCCAUCUACAUCCCAACUGACCCACAGGAAAGAUCGCAGGAGAUCAGUUUCAAGAACCAAAGAUACGGUUGUGGUCCCCGAAAAGCGUUCUAAAUUCAAG
rnacentral:lncRNA from 1 species